rnacentral:rRNA from 1 species
UACAGAGGAGCCAAGCGUUGUCCGGAUUGACUGGGCGUAAAGCGCACGCAGGCGGCAUCGCGCGUGGGGUGUGAAAUCUGGCCGCUUAACGGCCAGGCGCCAUCCCAUACGGCGAAGCUGGAGCGAUGCAGAGGUCGGUGGAAUUGCCGGUGUAGUGGUGAAAUGCGUAGAGAUCGGCAGGAACACCCAGGGGGAAACCAGCCGAAC